AAGGAUCAUUAUAGUGAAAAGCUAUAGACUGGUGUCUAAGGAUGAAACCGUAAAGGUUAAUCCUACACCGCCCAACCUUGUCAAUAAAUUUAACGUUACCUCGGUAGGUUAGCCUGCCGGUGGACAAUUUAAAAACCUUUUUAAACAUACUUGUAAAUACACUUGUCUGAUAAUUUUUAAAAUAAAAUUAAAACUUUCAACAACGGAUCUCUUGGUUCUG
rnacentral:misc_RNA from 1 species